AUGAGAGAGAAAAAGGAAUCACUCUUGGAGAGGAUGUUAGAUUUUUGCAAAAAAAAUAACAGAAACCUUAAUAGGGAAUUAGAAACAGACCAUCACCCUAUGUGAAUGCAAAUUCUCUAUCCUGAAAAAUCUAUUGUGAUACAAGAUCUACAGCCUUGGUAAUUGUGUCUUCCAUUAUGAAAACAGCUCAAGUGCGUAAGACAGGGAUAUCAGAUCCCACAGCCUUUCUUAGUUAGCCUGGUGCCUUCAGAAUUAUUAAUACUCUUAAUUCUAAAUCAACAGGACUUGGCAAUUGGGAAUUUAUGGAGCUGAAACUCAUAAAUGUGGAGACUCAUCUAGCUAGCAUUUGUAAAAGAAAAUAAAGUAAUUGAGUAACAGUAUCACUGAAGAAUAGAUUGCUGUUUUUGUUUUUCUAUGAAGCCUAGGUACCUUUGAAUAACAACAUAGAAUAAAAGGUUGUAUCUUUCCCACCCAUUGCUUCAUUCUAGCCAUUAUAUUUCGGCAUAUCACGAACUCCAGAAAGGCAGGGGGAUAAAAAAAAACCCUCUAAGAACAUAGCAUAGCGAAUUCAAAUGGAAUGGCUGGGUUUCCGAGAAUUCCUACCAUUGCUUUAGACAAAAUUCACAUGGUUGGGAAACAUGCCCUUUUUUUUCUUAUGGUUAAUUGUUAUCCCUCUUAACUAUUAUAAUCUCAUGACCAUUUGCAUUAUUAUUAUAAUAAAGCUAGAAUGAAUUAAAAAUUAAAAAUAAGCUAACAAAACCAUCAACCAUUAAAAUGCGUUAAAAUGCUGUUUUAAGGCCUUUAUAAAUAUUUGAAAUAAUGUCAGUUUUCUAUAUUUAAUAGGGAAUGUAUCUCUUAGAAAAGGACUGUUAUUUUCCCUCAAAGGCACUGACUGACUUUUUAAUUAAUUACAGAUAGAAGAAAAGUGGGGACAAAGAAACUGCCUUGAUCUCCUAUAGAAAUGAUGCAUCCAGCAAGCAUGCGAACACACUGCUGAUUAUUAAAGUGGAAUUGUUGAACUAUAACUAAGAAAGAGAGUGGUCACUGGCAUAACCUCUUGGAAUCUUGAAGAAAAUGAGAAAUACUCCAGCAUGUAAAUAAACACAAAUGGAAGUAAGACCCUUAAUGUAUGUAGGUCUUUGGAUUGUGUCACAUAUUUACAGCAUCUCAGUAAUGUUUUUGUGACUGCACAAUGGCUUUCCCGCUACUGAUCACUAAGCUGCAUGUCUGUGCAUCUUUCUUACACUGCAAUGGCAGCAACAUUUUGUCAUGCUUUGCUCUGCUGCACGUAUGAAGGUUAGCGAAGGAUAGCUGCUCAUCUCUUCAGUGGAAAAAGUCUUUGUCAGCUCUUUCUCUUCUAGUGGAUAGCCAGCAUCUUCAUGCCCUGUCACCACCACCUUCUACAAAUUCCUGAUGCCCGGAGCUGGUACAUUCAAGAAUCAAGCCAAUGUCAUCAUUAUAACAUUUAAGAAACCGAAGUUGGAUGUCUGCCAAUCAUAGCAAUGUCCAUGUUUGUACUUAAAGUGAUGCCCAAUUGUGAUUAAUUAAUUAAGCUGGAUUUACAAGACUUCAAGGUUUGUCUCCGAUUUGUAAAAUUCCCAGGGAAUGUUAAUGUUCCCAAUUUGAAUAGAGUAAAUUUGAUAACAGACUGAAUAAAGAUUCCUGCAGCUAGCCAUUCAUGUUCUUGAACCUUGAUAACCCCCCCCAAAAGGUUAGUCUUUAGUCAUCCCAGUAUUCAUUAACAUUUAAAACUGAUUUUCAUUGCUUAAUUGACAUAAUUUCUUUAUAUGCAUUUUUUCCAACCUUAAACACUCAGAUUCCCUAAAAGUCAAACUCUUGUGAAGUUUCCCAGGUUACUGUAUUUUGCCCUAAACCUUUUUUCUCUAUUCUUUCAAUGCCCCAUUAACAAAAGCACAUGAUGGGUGGUACAUCAAGGUCAGGGGUGUGUUCGAAAAGUGACAUCAACAAAAGGAGACAAUAAAAGGGCUCCUUAGCUACUGAGAAGUUCUAUUUAAAGUUACAUUUAAGGAGUCUUCUUAGACCAAUUAAGCAGUCUUCAAAUCAACUUCUGCUUGCUGAGACUUAUCUAAAGGAAGAACCAACUUAAAAGCUAU